rnacentral:lncRNA from 1 species
AGCGUAACGGCCGAAAGUAAAGGUCCAGGAUACUGGAAAUUAAAUAAUUCUAUUUUAGAAGAAAAUGAAUAUUGUAAAGAAAUAGAAACAAUAAUUGCAAAAUAUAAAACUAUCAUGCAAGACACAACUACGGAUGUGCAUCUUCUUUGGGACGCGAUUAAACUUGAUAUUAAACUAUUUACAAUAAAUUAUUGCAAAAGUAGAGCUUACAAUAAAAAUAACGAAAUAAAGCAAAUGGAAAAAAAAUUAACACUCUUAACUGAAAAAUACCAAAAAAAUGAAAAUAAUGAUAUUUUGCAAAAAAUAAAUCAAAUUGAAAAUCAGCUAGAAACACAUUAUGAAUAUAAAGCUAAGGGCGCCCAAUUAAGGUCUAAACAAGAUUGGGUAGAAAAAGGCGAAAAAAAAUACAGCUUACUUUUUAGGCCUAGAAAAAAAUAAACAAACAAAAAAAACAAUAAUAAAACUAAAAGACGACCAAGGAAAUAUUGUUACAGAUCAAAGUGAAAUACUUCAAAUUGAAAAGAAAUUUUACGAAAAACUAUAUUCAAAAGAAAACGAAAACAUAGCCCAAUCAUGGGAAUAUAUUAACAGUACUGAAGUAAAAAAUAAAUUAUCAAAAAAUGAAAGUCAGACGUGCGAUGGAUAUGUUACAAUAGAUGAACUAACACUAGCAGUAAACAAUUUAAAACCCAAUAAAAGCCCAGGUAAAGAUGGUAUCUCAACAAAUUUCUAUAAAAAGUUUUGGCAAUCAUUAGGUCCAAUCCUUGUUAACAUCUUUAAUACAAGCUACGACAGGCAAAAGCUACCAUUUUCUCAAAGACAAAGUAUUCUUAAUCUUAUAUACAAAAAGAAUGAUCCACUAGAUCUUUCAAAUUAUAGGCCAAUCUCCUUAUUAAACUCGGACUAUAAAAUACUAUCUUACACAUUAGCUCAAAGAAUAAAAAAUGUACUAAAUUUAAUAAUAAAUGCAGACCAAACAGGAUAUAUAAAAAAACGAUAUAUUGGCUUCAAUCUCAGACAAAUACAAGACAUCAUAGAUUACGCCGACAAAUUUAAUGUUGAAGGUGCAAUUUUGUUUCUAGACUUUUCAAAAGCAUUUGAUACCUUAAAAUGGACCUUUAUGUACCAAACUCUCGAAC